rnacentral:RNase_P_RNA from 2 species
GACAGAUGAAAAGCUGCGAGGCUCGCCCCAUACAAGACAAGGUUUCGACCAUCGUCUACAUUCGCGAGCGGGCUAAGGUCUGAGCAUUCUAAUCAUUCUCGAUCGAUCCUAGCAGGAUCCAGCUGUAACCGGCUGCAACGGCGUAUCAGAAAUUCGACCCACCGCGUUUAUCCUCUCUCGAAGGAAUCCCAAAGAUCGCUUGUACCGCGUGGCUUGUCCUCCGUUGGUACGGCAGGAGGGAAUGGUGUGUGUGUGGUCUUGGAACUCGUCGUAAUGAUCGGGUGGCGAGGCAUUGGGCCGAUCUUUUUUUUUUUUGCUCCCAUUGGGAGCAAAAGAGUCGGUUGGGCACGACCAUCCUUCAGCUCACUUCGCAGCGCAUUUCUGAUGGGCUCUCUGCUUUUUGGAGAGAGCCCUGAAUUGCAACUCGAUUCAGACUACUCUUCGUCUGUC